GGAGGCAUAGCUCAGUUGGUUAGAGCGCACGGUUCACAUCCGUGAGGUCGAGGGUUCAAAUCCCCCUGUCUCUA
rnacentral:tRNA from 1 species